AUAUAUCUUCAGGGGGAGGUGUAAGUCCUCACCGGCGGUAAAGCCCGCGAGCCGAUGAAAUUCGGUUGACUUGGUUAGAUUCCAAGGCCGACAGUUAUAGUCUGGAUGGAAGAAGAUGUAG
rnacentral:ncRNA from 2 species